CGCAAAUCACGUUUUGCAUGCUAUAGAAGGGAGGGGGGAUAAAUACUCUUCCUUUCGUGUUUUGAUAUCUUGUUGUUUUGCUACUCUCACUUUGGAGUUCGGAUGGUGUCUAGCAACGUUGGGUACCUCGUUUCUUGUGUGAGCGAGUGGUUGCUGUUUACGACGUGUUCAUAUAUCGAUUUGUAGUGCUGUAAUGUGCAAAUUAGCGGACUUUAUAGCGGCUCUCUAUUUUCCGUCGUUGUCUUUCGAGCAGCGCCUGUUGUUCCGGUAAAAAUCGAGUUGAAUGAAUCGCCACAACCCCAACGUAUAUCGCGCAGUGUUGACCAAGACCAAGUCCAGCAGGAAUUCUGGCAUGGUAUGUGGCUGCACGGAGGAUUCCGAAAAAGAAAAACAACAACAUGGCUAAUAGGAUGUUGCUGCCCAGGGAGUCCUGGCCGAAGAGGUUUACUCAUUCCAGAAGCAAGAAUUGUACAAUUGUAAGGCGAAUGGAAAUAAACUGACAUCGACUGAGAUA